rnacentral:rRNA from 1 species
UACGUAGGGGGCAAGCGUUAUCCGGAUUUACUGGGUGUAAAGGGAGCGUAGACGGCGAUGCAAGCCAGAUGUGAAAGCCCGGGGCUCAACCCCGGGACUGCAUUUGGAACUGUAUAGCUAGUGUGUCGGAGAGGCAGGCGGAAUUCCUAGUGUAGCGGUGAAAUGCGUAGAUAUUAGGAGGAACACCAGUGGCGAAGGCGGCCUGCUGGACGAUGACUGACGUUGAGGCUCGAAAGCGUGGGGAGCAAACAGG